UUUGAUCUAUUUUUUUCAGCUGCUGAACUGGUAAUAAGUUAGAGUGAGAAAAAAUAUAUUUGUCUCACUUUAACUUAUUGCACCAGUUCAGCAGUACAACUGAAAAGAACAGAUUACUUGACUUUAUCACAAACAUGUGGUUACUGUAGAUGGCGUAGAGUUACUAAUGGUUAGGUGUACUCAGCCAAUCAUUGAAGUCUGAAGUCUGAUAUGGUUAUUGUAGAAUAGUAUAACGAGUGAUAAUUCAGCAUACAUAAACACAUUUACUAAUUAUCGAUUUUUAUACAUUUGUUGAAUUGUAGACGCGCAUUAUGUUUCACUUUGGAAAGUUAAAGUCACUACUUUAUAGGAGCCAAUUAACCUCAUAUGCCCGAGAUUCACAUCAGUCGGCAUCACCAGUCAAGAGGAUCAAUAAAAUUCUAAUAGCAAAUAGAGGAGAGAUAGCAUGUCGUAUAACAAAAACAGCGAAGAGGCUUGGUGUGAGAACAGUGGCUGUCUAUAGUGAAGUGGACAGGAAUUCUAUGCAUGUAGAGCAAGCUGAUGAGGCUUACUGCAUUGGCUCUGCACCAUCCAGUCAGAGUUACUUAAGGCAAGACAAAAUCAUAUCGGUUGCUAAACAAGCAAAAUGUCAAGCUGUACAUCCAGGAUAUGGAUUUCUAUCAGAAAACACAGAGUUUGCAGAAUUAUGUCAGAAGGAGAACAUUAUAUUCAUUGGUCCACCAGCUAGUGCCAUUAGGGAUAUGGGUAUUAAAAAUACAUCAAAAGCUAUCAUGAAAAAAGCUGGAGUUCCUAUUAUAGAAGGAUAUCAUGGAGAUGACCAAAGUAACGAAACGUUGUUGGCGGAAGCCAGAAAAAUUGGCUUUCCUUUGAUGAUAAAAGCUGUUCGCGGCGGUGGCGGCAAAGGUAUGAGAAUCGCCCUGAAGGAAUCCGAUUUCGCUGAGACACUAGAGUCCGCGAGAACCGAGUCGGAGAAAGCGUUCGGGGAUUCGGCGGUACUUCUCGAGAAAUACGUUUCCGAGCCUAGGCACGUUGAAGUACAGAUCUUUGCCGAUAAACAUGGAAACGUUGUUUACUUAUUCGAAAGGGACUGCUCCGUUCAAAGACGACAUCAGAAAGUGAUUGAGGAAGCACCUGCUCCUGGAAUAUCUGAGAAGCUCAGACAGGAGCUGGGUGAAGCAGCUGUGCGCGCCGCUAAAGCAGUGGGAUACGUAGGCGCUGGGACUGUGGAGUUCAUAAUGGAUCGCAACGAUCACAGUUUCCACUUUAUGGAGAUGAAUACGCGUCUGCAGGUGGAGCAUCCGGUUACGGAGGCGAUCACUGGCUUGGAUUUAGUCGAGUGGCAAUUAAAAGUUGCAAGUGGUGAGGAAUUACCAUUGAAACAAGAGGAGAUCUAUCUCAAUGGUCAUGCAUUUGAGGCAAGAAUUUAUGCAGAGAACCCAAGGAAUGGUUUCUUGCCAGGAGCCGGUCAACUUGUCUAUUUGAGAUCUCCUGAAGCUACAAACAAUAUUAGAGUCGAAACUGGUGUACGACAAAGCGAUGAAGUGUCCGUGCAUUACGACCCGAUGAUAGCAAAAUUGGUGGUCUGGGGAAAAGACAGGACCGAAGCUCUCAAUAUACUUAGAUCACAGCUCAGUGAAUACAACAUAGCUGGUCUAGAUACAAAUAUUGAGUUUAUCAAGGAUCUCUGUGUUCAUCCCAAAUUUCAAAAUGGUUUGGUACACACAGAUUUCAUCAAGGAAAAUUUCGCGCAACUAUUCCCUAAGUUACACAUACCCAACGAAAUACUUGUUCAGGCUGCUCUUGCCUCGAUACUACAUGAAGAGAUGAACUCUUUAAAUACAUCUAUAGAAACUAAAGACCCUUUCAGUCCUUUCGCUGUAGAAACUGGACUAAGAUUGAAUCACGUAUUAAAACAUACGUUUCAUUUUAACAUUGAAAAUGAGAGUCACAUGGUAGAAGUGAAAUAUAUCGAACCUGACGUGUAUAUAAUGCGAGUUAAUAAACUAGGAUCUUGGAGAAAAGUGAAUGGAACUUUGAGAAAGAAGGAUGAUACUUUAGAGUUGUCCGCGGAAAUUGACGGGAUUAUCAUUAAAGCAGAGACAGUCAAACUUGAUAAUAAGUUGCAUAUAUUUACUAAGGAUCGCGAAUGGCAGCUGAUUAUUCCAACUCCAAAAUUCGUGACUGCAUUUACAAGUCAAGCGGAACAAAAUCCAUAUACUGCGUUAAGCCCGAUGCCUGGUUUAGUUGAUAAAAUUUUUGUCAACAAAGGAGAUAUUGUAAAGAAAGGCGACUCACUAAUAGUUAUUGUUGCUAUGAAAAUGGAGCAUAUCAUAAAGGCAGCUGCAGAUGGAACUAUCGAAGAAGUGUUAUGCUCGAUAGGUGACAACGUUGCUAAAAAUAAGCUUCUUAUAAAAAUGACGGAGACUCUUUAGUAAUUAUAUUUUUUUAUGACACAAUAUACAUAAAGGGAGCAUCACUGUUGAUAAAACAAUAUGUACAAUAUGUAAUUUUUAUAAUCCAAUAUUUUAGAUUUGAGGUUUGUGGAGAAAUGUUUAAUAUAUUUUGCUUUCAGGCUGAUGCUGUAUCCUUCAUGGAUUUGUUUUCAAUGUUUUAUAAACAUUUAAAUUCACUUCAGUAGAAUGAUAUAAAAUAAGGGACGCGGCAUCAACCUAGGAAUACGUGAUUUUGCGAUAUAUUGUCUAAAGGAAUAUGUCAGUUGGAUGCAACAGCUCCCUGAGCAUUCAAUGAGCGGUUGCAAUACUGGAUGCACUCAUUUUAGUUAAGUAUAUGUGCAAAUAUCACACGACAAUUUAUGAUAUUUUAUAAUGUCUAAUCCAAACUUAUAUAUUUAGGCAUGUAAUGGAAUUAUGUUAGUAUAAUAGCCUUAAAAUAUUGCAUUAUUUCUUUUAUAUAUGAUUUUUAUAUAUAUAUGUAUUUUUGUAUAUGAAUUUUUAUAUUCCAAAGAUUGCAUUUAAUAUUGAUUGUUACUAAUAUUUUAGUAGAAAAAGGUAAUCAUAUUGUUUUAUGGAAAAAACCAGUCAGUAAAUAAUUGUAAUUAAUUAAAGGUACAAUAACA